ACUGGAUGGAAUGGUGCCAGCUCUUACCUCUCAUCAUCUGGAUGAUAGUGUAAGAUGUCUAUUGGCAAGUGCACAUGAUAUAUCGAACAAAGGCUCUCACCUAUCAUGCAAAUGAUAGUGUGAGAAGCCGAUCGAUGAAUGCAUAUGGUCUCCAGGUCACGGCCGAUACGCUUCUGCCUGCCGUUACGUUACCUAACCACAGCAAGAUACUCGGCGUUCCAACGAACGGGGAACGAUCUGUACAAAAUUCGUAACCGUUCCUGUCAUCGUAUUAAAGACCAGCGCCACCGUAACCAGCUAUACUAAUAGGAUGCAAAAAGAAUAAUCUGGAAUAUUUUAAAUUUAAACUUCUAGCCAUGAUUCAAUAAUUAUCCACAUUGCAAUUGCAUUUUAUGUAACAGACGAUUAUUAAGCAUUCUUUCACAAUCAAAGAAAUGGUUAGAUGCGAUGAAAAUUAAUGUACUGUUUCCUACAAAUCGAGUUUCAGUUAAGUGUCUUUUUCCCCUUCCAUGCUACUUGUGCAUCUGAUUAUUGGUUUUUUAGACUAUGCAAAACAUUAGAACGUUGCUGUUUUUGUUUGGUUAGGGCUAAGACGUUUCUAAUCAUUCAUCAGCUAACUGAAAACUUAUUGUGUGAUAAGCGUAGCUUACGGCACCGUGUUGCGGAAGCUAUCGUUUGAAUUUUGCGUUUUCUGGGUUUUGUUGGCUCAUUCUUCGGGAGUUUUUGGGCAAAGCAUUAACAUCACUUACUAAAUACGUCCUUUUCUCUUUUAACUAUACUUCCAUGCACCCAUCGAGUUUCUUGCGUUUGGAGCACAUGUGGACACAAACCAUCACAAGCGGCAAACAAAGGUAUACCCAAAAAUCCUACCAACUAUAACUACCAUCUCAAACCCCACUACAUACUUUCUUUUUCCUUUUUUUCUUCUUUUUUUACAUUAAAUGCACUCAACUAUCAUUUCUUGGGCUCACUGCGAUGGCAAUGCGUGCUGGCAAGCCUGGAUUAAGUCAACUCGAGGAGGGGUUUACUGGGCAAGACAUCGAUUGUAACUCUUGUAUCGAGUGAUUGUGAUCGAUGAAUCCCACAUUUCUCGUGGAUGGUUGGUUGAUCCAGGUUGUAUUAUGAAGAUAUCCCUCCUAGUAAAAAAAUCAGUUAUAUUAAAUAUUACAUAAUUAUAGCAAGAUUCUACCUAAUUCUGCCUUACCAUUUACAGGAGCAGUGCUGUGAAACUUUAAGAACGAAUGCGCCUAACACAUCGCUCGUUUUUAUGGACACUCGAAUAACCUUUCAGGAGAAUAUACAUUUGAGUUAUCAUCAACAAAAAUACGAAAUGGACGGGAUGGACGCUUAAGGCAACCAGAAUUAUUUGCAUGUUUAAGCAAAUGGAUGGAUUUGUAACUUAGAACUUAGCUUCCAGGAAAAGAAGAUCUUCUACACUAUCCACAGAGCGGAAUCGUCCCGGUUUGUUAGGCUGGCUAGUGUUAGCUAGUGGUUGCUUCUUGCCCAUAAAUUCUUCCACCAAUCCGGCUAUAUAUUCUACUCUGCCACUGAGCUGCCGAAUUUCCUGGGCCGAAUUAUGUCCUGCCGGACCUGGACGUUCGCAAGCAUUCGGCGCAUGGAUUGAAAUUCCUGCGCCGAACCCGUCGCGGAUGAUGAUACCGGCACAUUGUUGUUGCAGUCGGAAUUUUGCUUGGAAUCCAUCUAAAAUUUAAAAGAGCGUAGUUAGGGACAUUUUAACUUUCCACUGUGUUAUUUAAAACAGUUUUUUCUUGCCUUUUUGCGAAAAUUAUCGGAACACUCGUCACAAGACUAUCCUGAACCAGAACUAAAGCAAAAUGAAAUGUUCACCAUUCUUCGAAUUUGAAUUUUGACAGAGGAAUAAAUGUAUGCGAAAGCAAAACAAUAUCACAACGACA